rnacentral:lncRNA from 1 species
GGGGAGGCAGACGGCACUCUGAUUGGCCGGGCCCGCGCCCGGGGAGCCCCGCAUUCUACAGUGUCCGAAAGAUUCGAAACUCCAAAAGCUCCACUGUGUGCUCCGGGAGGGGAGGGGGCGCGCCAGGAAAGGAGUGGAAAAAAGUGGAUUCUCUUAGACUCAGGACGCGCAUCGGUCUGUCCGACCUUCCCCGCAAGAGACAAAGUGACUGCUGGGAGGCCCCCGCGGACAGUUUUCCGUUUUAACUUUCGCCUUAUUCUCAUCCUGUCCUGAUGUCACGGCCCUGAGGAACAGUUCGUUCUGCGGAAGAGAGUAAAGAAAAUUCGUUUAAAUAAUGAGGAAAAUGAGCGUUCCUGUCGUUCUCUGUCCACGCUUGACUGUGCGUCUCCGUGCUGCUCUUUCGAACCUCCAGGCCGGCGGGAAUCUGGGCGCGUAGAUUCGGCCGGGGCCGUCGCGGCCUCAGGACGCAGCCCUCCCGCCUGGCACGACUACUGGGCCGCGCCCUGUCACUCUAUCCGCUUCUGAGCCCAGGGGUGGGGGUGGGAGAAAGAAGAUGCGACCAACGGGCCCCCACCCGAAGACCGCAGAACCCGGCGCCCCGGGAGAGCCUUGGAAGAAGCCCACCCGGAGGCUGAGGCUGGAGGGAGAAGGGGGUGGGGGUGAUGCGCUGGAGGACCGGGCGGAGAGCUUCCAGAAAGUUCACCAGGCCCCGGCACGAGGGCGCUCCGACACGAACAAGGAGCGCAGGACCCAGACCCCACCUUCCAACACCUGGAGGUUCCGAGGCCAAGUACGUCUAGUAGCCCCGGCUGCACCUGGGGAGGACAGCCAUGCGGUUGCGGGAAGAGCGCCGACCACCACCGGAUUCCGCGCAGGGGCGGUCAGGUGCCUCCCAGAGCUCCUUUGGACAAAGUUUUCGGGAAAUUAUAUUAAACCGAAAACGAAAUAAACGAUAUAAAUCUGCCUA